rnacentral:rRNA from 1 species
GUAGGUGGCAAGCGUUGUCCGGAAUUAUUGGGCGUAAAGCGCGCGCAGGCGGUCCUUUAAGUCUGAUGUGAAAGCCCACGGCUCAACCGUGGAGGGUCAUUGGAAACUGGGGGACUUGAGUACAGAAGAGGAAAGCGGAAUUCCAAGUGUAGCGGUGAAAUGCGUAGAGAUUUGGAGGAACACCAGUGGCGAAGGCGGCUUUCUGGUCUGUAACUGACGCUGAGGCGCGAAAGCGUGGGGAGCAAACAGGAUUAGAUACCCUGGUAGUCCACGCCGUAAACGAUGAGUGCUAAGUGUUAGGGGGUUUCCCGCCCCCCUUAGUGCUGCAGCUAACGCAUUAAGCACUCCGCCUGGGGAGUACGCCGCAAGGCUG